UACGGAGGGGGCGAGCGUUAUUCGGAAUUAUUGGGCGUAAAGGGCGCGUAGGCGGCUUGAUGUGUCAAAGGUGAAAUCCCUCGGCUCAACUGAGGAACUGCCUUUGAAACUGUCUGGCUUGAGGCUGGGAGAGGGUAGCGGAAUUCCCAGUGUAGCGGUGAAAUGCGUAGAUAUCUGGAGGAACACCGGUGGCGAAGGCGGCAUCCUGGACCAACACUGACACUGAUGAGCGAAAGCCAGGGGAGCAAACGGG
rnacentral:rRNA from 1 species